CCCUCCGUAGGGGAACCUGCGGAGGGAUCAUUACAGAGUUGCAAAACUCCAACCCGUGUGAACGAACCUUCAACCGUUGCUUCGGCGGGCUCGCCCGCCGGAGGCACCAAACUCUUUGAAUUUACAGGCGUCUCUGAGCAAAAAACAAAAUAAUCAAAACUUUCAACAACGGAUCUCUUGGCUCUGGCAUCGAUGAAGAACGCAGCGAAAUGCGAUAAGUAAUGUGAAUUGCAGAAUUCAGUGAAUCAUCGAAUCUUUGAACGCACAUUGCGCCCGCCGGUAUUCCGGCGGGCAUGCCUGUCCGAGCGUCAUUUCAACCCUCAGGCCCCCCGGGGCCUGGUGUUGGGGCGCCCGGGUCCUUAACCGGCCCGGGGCCCCCAAGUACAUCGGCGGUCUCGUCGGUACGCCGAGCGCAGUAAGACGCGGUAAAACGCGCCCCUCGCCCGGACCGUAUCGGCGCGCACCCGCCGCUAAACCCCCCAAUUUACAAGGUUGACCUCGGAUCAUGUAGGAAUCCCCCCAUU
rnacentral:rRNA from 1 species